CUUUUUGCAAUCUUCAACGGUCAAGUUUCAGUGAGUCUGUGCCCAUGAUAGCCUCAGAUUCUUGUUCUGGGCUGACAGGAGUGGAACCGGAUGUGGUCUUCUGCUUGCGUAUCCCAUCCAACUCAAGAUCGAAAUUUAUUAUUUAAAGAAGCAUCCAAACAUGGUUCCUGGUUCGAUCCUAGGCUCGGUUUAAGGUCUGUGUGGAAUUUAUGUGCAUGUUCUUCAAGUGGAUCUGUUGGUUUCCUCUGGGUUCUCUGGUUUCCUCCCACCUCCCAGAAACAUGCCAUGCUUAAGAGAUUUCACUGAGCAGCACAUGCAAAUGAGGGCUUUAUCCUCACAGUCAACGGACACCAGCUGCACCCUGCAUCUUCUUCCAAACACGUUUGCCGUGGCAGAGUGUAAAACUCUACAAUAAUGAUCAGAAGGUUGUGAGCCCUCAAGUCAAGCUGUAGGGUUUGAAUUGGGUCCUGUAUCAGUUGUGUGUGUUUUUCAUAAAAAGCCAAAUGAAUACAUGUAAAUGUAAAUCCAUUAAAAAAAAAUAUAUUA